UGCCACUCAGCCACAUGCUGCCCUAAAAUUGAGCAAGUUGGUGUAACUCAAAAGAAAUAUCUAACAAUAAGCACUUGACUUCGUAUAAAUGAAUUGGUACAUAACUUACACAUCAAGAAAAAAUGUUUUUAUCCAUUUUUUACUUUAAGCGAUAUAACGCUCUACAGUUAGCUCAAGUAACAUGAAAUUUGAACAAAAAAAUAUCGAGUUAAGCAACCAAAAUAAACUAUCUCUCAACACAAAUAAAAUAUGGAAAUCAAGCAAAAGAAAAGGACUCUAUCAGGCUCUGCUUGAUGUAUUAACAUUGAACUCAAGUAUAUGUUACUGCAUCACAUUUUAGAAAAGCUACAUAAUAAUCCAUCAUUCAUUCUGAACCACAUGCAAUAUUUAGGAUAUAACAAGAAUUGAAACAAAGUUUAUGAAUAUAGCUCCAGAGAGAAGCAAGAGUCUUGAAAAGCUUUUCCUUAUGAGUAUAAACGCUUUGCAUGGGAUCGAAGAGCUCCACAAGUUAUUUUCAUGAAUAAUUCCAUCAAAACAAAUAUAGGACAUUAUUCAAUAGCCAAAAGCAUAGUUCCUGAUGGAUAACAAAAAAGACGUUGUUCAAAAAGAUAAAUAGUAUUUGGUAUAUAGUCGUAGUUGUUUACCAACAAGAGAUGCAUCACUCUGCCAGACAAGAUUUAUUUGUUCUUUUUCCCUUGCUUGCCUUGUACUAGAAAUAAACUAAACAUAUGUUGUCAAAGAAACUCUCAAUACUGCCACAAUAUCUUAUGGCCAUGUGAGGACCUCAUCUUAGAUUAUUUUCUACACUGAACAUCAAGUGAGGAGGUCCACUAGUAAAUACAAAUUAUAUUUCUGCACACGUACAGGGAUGAUCACUAAUUAAUUCAACAUAUCAACCAAGAAAUUUCGAAUAAUCAUGACUAAUCAAAUUAUCGCUACUUAUAUCAAUUAAUCCUAGCUGAAAUAUUUCUGGAAUAAUAAAUAUCAUAGCAAAAGAAGAAUAGACACACAAUCACCAAACGGAUCACAAUGAUCAUCCUGUAAGGAUUAAUCACGCUUGAAGGAAUGGGAACCUUUCUGGACAGUGCCUGUGCAUAAAGAUCAUCCUUUAAGGAUUUUUUUAACUUAUGAAGGAUGCACUCAGUGCAUAAAGAUCACUUGAUUAUUCAAAGAAGCAUAAAAAUAUUACUUCCUCCAAUCUAAAUAAGUGAACUAGAACAACUUCACAUAUUUCCAAACUAGGCAAUACUUAAAGAUAUUUUUUCAAACAAAUGAAUAAGGUGAAGCAUAGGAAGUCAUCACUAAAAACCACCAGUAGAAGGACACUAAUUCAACUAUAUCUUUUGUGCUGCCAACCUAAAGAACACGCUCUGCUCAUAGAUUCAUUAAUAAAAAGGGGGGAGGAAGCAAAGCACAUCACACAAGCUUGCAUAUAUAUAGAGGGAAACAACGAAGCCAACUUUGGCGUGUUGGCAUCAUACAUGUUCAUUUUCGCUUCACAUGCAUGCGAGAGGCCGCCCCUUCUCUCUCCCAUAUUUCUGAACCAGCCGUGUCCUGAAACAAAUCAUAACAACUAAAUCAGCACCAAUCGGUUUCUACUUAUUUGGAGAAGUACUCACAAUUCCAUCUAGUGAUCCGAACAACCUGCUUCCUAUUUGUAAGAAUAGUAACCUUGUUGUAUACUGAAACAACAAGAAGUAACAUAAUUCGUCGCAAUCCACUAAUUGCUGAACUUGUUGAUGUACCUACAAGGGAACCACCCAACCGUACAAAGCAGCGAAAUAACAUUAUAGACGUAUUAGACAAGAUGGGAUUGCAGUCUGGCACUCUGGCUUAACAAGGAACAAUGGCGUCCAACGAAAUAUGAUCCUCAACAAAAUCAUGAGAUUAUACUAAUGUGCAAACCACCACUUUGGAAAUCAAAGCACAAGUUUAUUUGCCUAAUACAGUUCGUCGAGGCCCAACACCAUCGACCCAACAACGGUGGCGUGCUAUACAGAAAUAAGAAAUGCACACAUAUUACUGCAUAUAAAUUUUAG
rnacentral:lncRNA from 1 species